CACUCUAGAGAGACUGCCAGGGAUAACCUGGAGGAAGGUGGGGAUGACGUCAAAUCAUCAUGCCCCUUAUGCUUAGGGCUACACACGUGCUACAAUGGGUAGUACAGAGGGUUGCCAAGCCGUAAGGUGGAGCUAAUCCCUUAAAGCUACUCUCAGUUCGGAUUGUAGGCUGAAACUCGCCUACAUGAAGCUGGAGUUACUAGUAAUCGCAGAUCAGAAUGCUGCGGUGAAUGCGUUCCCGGGUCUUGUACACACCGCCCGUCAAACCACGGGAGUUGGAGACGCCCGAAGCCGAUUAUCUAACCUUUUGGAAGAAGUCGUCGAAGGUGGAAUCAAUAACUGGGGUGAAGUCGUAACAAGGUAGCCGUAUCGGAAGGUGCGGCUGGAUCACC
rnacentral:rRNA from 1 species